UAUCUAAUUCAUCUUUUUCACGAGUCUUCACAGGCCAAGAAAAGCAUCUUUUGAUAUAUAAAACACACGAGACAACUUGCAUCUUUUGAUAUAUUGCUUCCUUGUGAAGUACAAACAAUCCCAAUAAAAGAAGAUGCAACUCAUGAAUUAUUCCUUUCUUUAGUCUCUCUCUCUCUAAAUCAAUAGAUAUAUAUAUAUAAGUAAGUUUGUGUAUGCAAGAAAGUAUAUUACUCUUGAACUCCGGUUUGCGCUUCAAUCCAUAUUUCCAUAAAGCUGUCCACCAGGGCAACAUUUAGCAAAUAAAAAUUUUGUCGCAAUUCCAGCUACUCAACUGCUUUGGUGCAUUGAAGUUAUUUGCAUUGAAAUAAGAUAAAAAAUUUGUCACAAUUCCAGGCACUCAAUUCCUUUGAUACUGUGAAGUUAUUUGAAUUGAAAUAAGAGGCAAUGGAGUUGAUUCAACCUUUGUACGAUAUUGUGAAAAACAUGUGCACACCCAUUUGUAGACGUGUGGAUUAUGCGAUAAACCUGUCAAAGAAUUUCACAGAGCUGAGCGGGAGAGUAAAAAAAUUAUGCGACAGGAGGGAUGACAUUAUAUAUCAGAUUGACCUUGUUAAGCUACAAAAGGGUCCUACAAGAGAAUGCAAUGGCUGGCUUGAAAGGGUGGAUGAGAUUGAUAAGAAGACGAAAGAAGAUGAGCAGCUCAUUGGCAAAAGAUGUUUUAAUGGAUGGUUUCCAGAUGUCAUUUCUUGUGUGAAGCUCGGUAAGCAUGUGGUGGAAAUGAUCGAGCAGGUUAAAGAGCUCCAAGAGGAAUCCAGGUUUGAAGACGGUUUUGUCAUUGAUUUGCCACCAAAAAUAGUUGAGGAGAGGCCUGUUGAUGCUUUGAUAAUGGGGAAUUCAACUAAUCUCACCUUGCAAAAGAUACGAGAUUCCAUAAGAGAUGAGGGUGUCCAAAAGAUUGGAAUUUGGGGCAUGGGUGGGGUGGGAAAGACAACCUUAAUGAAUGUCUUGAAUAAUGAGCCUGAAAUUCAAACUAUGUUUCAUAUUGUAAUAUGGGUAACUGUCUCAAAAUCUUGGAGCAUUAGGAAGAUUCAAGAAGAAGUUGCACUGCGCUUGUCAUUACUGGAUGUAAAGGAUAAACCAGAUGACAGAGUUUCAAUAAUGUUGUUUGAGAAACUCAAGGGCAAGAAGUAUUUGUUGCUUCUGGAUGAUGUUUGGGAAGAAGUGGAUUUGAGUAGAGUGGGUAUACCAAGUCCAAGUCAAGAGAAGGGUUGCAAAAUUGUUCUGACAACCAGAAAAAUUCGAGUUUGUCAAAAAAUGUCAACUGAUAAGGAGAUCAAAGUGGAAGUUUUGGACCAAAGUGAAGCAUGGGAAUUGUUUAACUCAAAAGCGGGAGAAAUCUCAUUGCUCCCAACCAUCAAGCCGAUUGCUGAAAAAAUCGUCAGAAAGUGUGGUGGCUUACCACUUGCACUAAAAGUAGCAGGUGGGGUGUUGAGAAUGGUUGAAGAUGUAAGCGUGUGGCGUAAUUUUUUGAACAAGUUGAAUUCACCAGCUAUGUCUUUCAUUGAAGAUAUGAAUGAGGAUGUGUUCAGGUCAUUGAAGGUCAGUUACCACGCGUUGAAGGAUGACAGCAUCAAGAAUUGUUUUCUGUAUUGUGGCUUGUGUCCGGAAGAUGAAAAGAUUAAAAAAUCUCGGCUGAUCACUUAUUGGAGAGCGGAGGGGUUUCUUUGGAGUAAAGGGACUUUGAAAGAUGCUUAUGAUGAUGGGCGUGCGAAAUUACAUGACCUUAUUGGUGCAUCUCUGUUGGAGAAGUGUGAGGAUGAAAAACAUGUAAAGAUGCAUGAUGUGGUUCGAGAUUUAGUUCUGAUGAUGACUUCUGCAGGAGGAGAGGAGAGCAGGUUCAUGGUGAGAGCGGGACUGUCCAUGACGUCCCUGCAGGAAAUACCUGAUAUUGAUGAUAAGGAAUGGGAAGAAGCAAGUAGGAUUUCAUUUAUGAAUGCCGAGGGAUACAAAUUACCAGAGAAGCCAAAAUGUCCCAAGCUGUCAACAUUGCUGCUUCAGCCACGUGGAUAUUAUCUGGAGGCAAUACCUGAAUGUUUCUUCAAUCACAUGCCUAACCUUCGACUUUUGGAUCUAUCAAGAAGUGGCAUCUCCUCAUUGCCAUCUUCCAUCUCAAAUUUGGUCAGCCUUCGAGCAUUGCUUCUGAAAGGAUGCGAGUAUUUACAUGCUCUCCCUGAGGAAGUAAGUGUGCUCCAGAGACUUGAGGUGCUCCAUGUCAGUCAUGCGUACAAAACGAAAUGGGGACUGAAGGUUCGGACUAACCUUUCCUCAAAAAGUGGGAUAUUGUGGAAGUUGACCAGCCUUAAAAGUUUGAAAUUUUCACCUCUAAGUUUGAGAGUCACCAGAGAUGGGAUGGUUCCUUCUAGUGUGACCAUAUCCAGACUUUCCCUGCUUCAAGAAUUGAGUAUUAAAACGAUGGAAUUGAGUAUUAGACGGUUAAAAGGGGAUGAUGAAGAAAGUUUGGAAACUUUUGCAAAAGAGGUUGGCAGCUUGACUCGGCUCUCUUCACUUAAAUUCCACUUCAGAACAAUGAAUUGUCUGAAACACUUUAUCCAUAACAGCCAACCAUGGAGAGAUCGUACCAUACAGAAAUUCCAAUUCUAUGUUGGAGAAUUUCUGACAUCAUCAAAUCUUCCCAAAAUAUUUGAGAGGUACCUGUUAUUUGAGCCGGAGUAUAAGGAUGAUGGGGGAGUAACUUCUGAAGAAAUUAAGGAGGUACUCAUACGUUCGGAGUAUUUUUACCUAGAGGGUUGUCAAACCCUUCAAAUACUAUCAGAAUUGGGCGCGGAAACAGUUAAUGGGUUAAAAGGUUUAUCCGUCAGUUUUGGUAUUAAUGAAUAUAUGAUAGAUGAAGAUGGAUUGCGAGGGAAUGUUUUUGAAAACUUAGAAUACCUUCGAUUGAAUUGCUUACAUAGUUUUAGGGGCAUCUGCUGCGACAAAUUACCAAUGCAAUUAAGCAGCAGCACCAAUAGCUUCACUAAACUGAAGGACUUGAAAAUAAUUCGAUGCCAUUCAACGAAGAAGGUGUUCUCAUGGGGAUUGAUUCCGCAACUCCUUAAUUUGGAAUCAUUGGAAAUUAUUAAUUGUUUGGGAAUGGAGGAGAUAAUUUCAGCUGAUUUCGACGAGAGGGAGGAGGACAACAGGAGGCUUGAACACGUGAACCUACCCAAUUUGAAGCUUUUGGAUCUUUGGGUUGUACCAGAAUUGGUUGGCUUCUCCAAGAGGAAGAGGAACCAUCUGUACUUGCAUUGCCCCUCCUUAGAGGAGGUUAGUUUUUACAAAUGUCCAAAACUGGAUAUCUUUCCUUUUGGCAUCGACAGUGCACCUCAUUUGAGAAAGAUUAAAGGAGAACCGAAAUGGUGGGAAGCAUUAAAAUGGGAAGACGACGCCACUAAAUCACGAUUCGCCCCUCUCUUCCAUAUAUACAUGGGACGUUGAUUCCUCCCAAUGACGUUGUAGUCCCUGCAGACAGUGUUCAGGGAAUAUUGUUAACGGCAGAAAUUUAGAGACAUUUUUGUAUGCUGAGGAGUUUUGUCAAAAUUCAGAUGGUAAGGGCAGACAUUAGGGUACGCUUCUUCAAAGUCUCAUAAAUUUACGUUGCUUCAAAUUACUGCAUCAACUUUAACCGAUAGCAAUAUUUUGUGACCAAGAUAGAUCAACAGGAUUUGAUGCCGAUAUGGACCAUUUAAUGUGGGACUUAGCUCUCAAAUGUCUUUCCAGCUCUCCGUCUCUGCUCACUGUUGUGGAGUUUGGUUACCGGCCUCUUCAAGGAAAUGAUAUGAUUUUAUAUCUGUUUUCUUCUUUGCGUAUGUCAUGGAAGGUGUUGAGUUGUUCUGCUACAGCAACUAACAGUUUCUCAAAUCUCUAUGUUGAUUAUGUAUUUGAUAAGGAGCGACUGAUACUUAUUUGCUUAAUAACUUAUAUUUGUAUAUAUUGUCUUAAGGUUGUUUGAUUUGAGCUCAUCCCAUUUAUAUCAUUUCAUGUAAUCGAUGAGCUGACCAGUAGCUAAAGACCUCUAUGCUUUGUUAUUAUUUUAUGUACUUUAUUCAUCAACAAAAUCUGUGUAAGCAGAGUUUGUGACUGCUGAUAUUAUGAAAAUUGUGAAGUGUUAUAAACUAUUGUGAAAAUUGUGAAGUAUUAUGAAAAUUGUGAAGUGUUAUAAACUAUUAAAGCAUGUUAUUGUUUUCAUAUAUUGCAUAGUAAAUUUAUUUUCCUAUUACACAUUGGUUUCAUUGAAAAGACAAGAUUGCAUUAGGCCUUUAACUUUUUUGGUGCGAGGCAUAGUAUUUUGUCAACUUGGACCUUCCUGCUCAUUUUCUUGGACAAGGUA